rnacentral:tRNA from 1 species
GGAAGAGUGGCAGAGCGGUUGAAUGCACCGGUCUUGAAAACCGGCGAUGGUGAGAGCCAUCCGUGGGUUCGAAUCCCACCUCUUCCG